CCUACGGGAUGCAGCAGUGAGGAAUAUUGCUCAAUGGACGAGAGUCUGAACCAGCCAAGUAGCGUGAAGGAUGACUGCCCUAUGGUUUGUAAACUUCUUUUAUAAAGGAAUAAAACGAGGCACGUGUGCCUUUUUGCAUGUACUUUAUGAAUAAGGAUCGCCUAACUCCGUGCCAGCAGCCGCGGUAAUACGGAGGAUCCGAGCGUUAUCCGGAUUUAUUGGGUUUAAAGGGAGCGUAGAUGGGUUGUUAAGUCAGAUGGGAAAGUUUGCGGCUCAACCGUACAAUUGCAAUUGAUACUGGCAGUCUAGAGUACAGUUGAGGUAGGCGGAAUUCGUGGUGUAGCGGUGAAAUGCUUAGAUAUCACGAAGAACCCCGAUUGCGAAGGCAGCUUACUAAACUGUGACUGACAUUGAUGCUCGAAAGUGUGGGUAUCAAACAGGAUUAGAUACCCCUGUAGUC
rnacentral:rRNA from 1 species